UUCAAGUGCAACCACGAGUUUCCAUGCUCAACUUUGAUCAUCUGUCUUAUUUGAAAUUUUUUUAUAAUUAAUAUUUUUAUUAUUGUUAUGAUAUGAUAAAAUAUAAAUAGUACUCCACUUUAUGGAUGACUUAUGUUUUUAAUUUUUUUAUUUUUUUUAAAUAAAACAGACAAUUAAAGUUGGAUACGAAAAAUUAUGGCUGCACUUGAA
rfam:Oryza sativa Japonica Group DNA, chromosome 1, cultivar: Nipponbare, complete sequence.